GUCAGGGUCGCACAGUACGGCAGUGCGUGGGUCUGAAAAACCUAUUUCGGUUACCUCCGAUUCGUGGGUUCAAAUCCCACCCCUGACG
rnacentral:tRNA from 1 species